UACAGAGGGUGCAAGCGUUGCUCGGAAUCAUUGGGCGUAAAGGGCAGGUAGGUGGUCUGAUUUGUCUGGAGGUGAAAUCCUUGAGCUUAACUCAAGAAGUACCCCGGAAACGGUCAGACUUACGAGUCUUGGAGAGGGUGGCGGAAUUCCCGGUGUAGCGGUGAAAUGCGCAGAUAUCAGGAGGAACACCGGUGGCGAAGGCGGGUCUCUGGGCCGAUACUGACGCUGAGGAGCGAAAGCGUGGGGAGCGAACAGG
rnacentral:rRNA from 1 species